CAAAAUAAAAAUAAGUCAUAUCCACAAGACUAUUAAUACCCUUACUCAGAGAUGAAAUGUUGUUUUCAUUUCUAGAGUUUAUAUGCGUAAUAUGAUCACAAGUUUUAUCUUUAAACUGACACUCGAUUUGCUCCAUAAUAUUUGUCUCUGGUACCUAAGACCGGCCUGUUAUCUUAACGUCUUCACACAAUGCCUAAACGUCCUCCCUGGACUCAAC
rnacentral:lncRNA from 1 species